rnacentral:rRNA from 1 species
CCCUGCUCAGAUUGAACGCUGGCGGCAGGCCUAACACAUGCAAGUCGAGCGGUAGAGAGAAGCUUGCUUCUCUUGAGAGCGGCGGACGGGUGAGUAAUACCUAGGAAUCUGCCUGAUAGUGGGGGAUAACGUUCGGAAACGGACGCUAAUACCGCAUACGUCCUACGGGAGAAAGCAGGGGACCUUCGGGCCUUGCGCUAUCAGAUGAGCCUAGGUCGGAUUAGCUAGUUGGUGAGGUAAUGGCUCACCAAGGCUACGAUCCGUAACUGGUCUGAGAGGAUGAUCAGUCACACUGGAACUGAGACACGGUCCAGACUCCUACGGGAGGCAGCAGUGGGGAAUAUUGGACAAUGGGCGAAAGCCUGAUCCAGCCAUGCCGCGUGUGUGAAGAAGGUCUUCGGAUUGUAAAGCACUUUAAGUUGGGAGGAAGGGCAUUAACCUAAUACGUURGUGUCUUGACGUUACCGACAGAAUAAGCACCGGCUAA